AACGCAUAUUGCGCCCGCGUCUUCGGACAAGGGCAUGUCUGCCUCAGCGUCGGGUUAAUACUCGCAACUCAACACCCUGUGUGUUGAGCAUAGCGGACCUGGCUUUCCCGGUCUGAUUCGGUUCAGGCCGGGUUUGCUGAAGUAAAGAGGUUGACGCAUGGACCCGUUAUUGGGCCUCAGUUGGGUAGGCAAUUCGUUGCUAAAUGCUUUAACUGAUGGCUUGUGGACUGUGCAAUGUCAUCCCAAACCAGGAACCGAGCCCCGGCUUGGAUUAACCCUAUUUUCUCGACCUGAGCUCAGGCAAGAACACCCGCUGAACUUAA
rnacentral:misc_RNA from 1 species